GAUGAAGAACGCAGCGAAAUGCGAUACUUGGUGUGAAUUGCAGAAUCCCGUGAACCAUCGAGUCUUUGAACGCAAGUUGCGCCCGAAGCCAUCAGGUUGAGGGCACGUCUGCCUGGGCGUCACAUAUCGUUGCUCGAUGCCUAUCGCAUUGCGAUAGGACUUAGGGCGAAUGAUGGCUUCCCGUGAGCGUUGUUGCCUCGCGGUUGGUUGAAAAUCGAGUCCUUGGUAGGGUGUGCCAUGAUAGAUGGUGGUCGAGUUAGCACGAGACCGCUCAUGUGCAUGCUCCCCAAAAUAUGGCCUCUGUGACCCACACGCGUCUUUUGACGCUCAUGACGAGACCUCAGGUCAGGCGGGGCUACCCGCUGAAUUUAAGCAUAUCAAUAAGCGGAGGA
rnacentral:misc_RNA from 1 species